rnacentral:rRNA from 1 species
CAAAGGUAGCAUAAUCAUUAGGGGUUUAAUUGGAACCUGGUAUGAAGGGUCGGACAAAGGAGACACUGUCUUUAUAGUGUAAAUUGAAAUUUACUUUUAAGUGAAAAGGCUUAAAUAAUUCAAAGGGACGAUAAGACCCUAUAAAGCUUUAUAAAUAAUUUAAAUUUAGUUGAUUUAAGAGAUAAAAAUUAAAUCUAAUUAUUUUAUUUUGUUGGGGUGAUGUGAGUAUAAUUGUUGGUAACUGCUUAAAUUAAAUUCUAUUAAUGAAAGAGUUAAAAGAAUAUGGUCCUUUUUAAAGAUUAAAAGACUAAGUUACUUUAGGGAUAACAGCGUUAUUUCUUUUGAGAGUUCAUAUCGAAAAAGAAGAUUGCGACCUCGAUGUUGAAUUAAAAUAUCUAUAUAAUGCAGCCGUUAUAAAAGAGGGUCUGUUCGACCUUUAAAUUUUUACAUGAUUUGAGUUCA